UGAGCUGAUCUCCGGUCUCCUAACUCUGUGGCUUAGUUCAUUUCUACAAUACAGAAACUGAAUGGCCCAUCACCCCCUGCCCAAGCCUGCUGGAGGAGGCUGGCUAGCUGGACGUGAGAGUCUGGGAAUGAAGUCAGCUGUCUCAGCGCCAGGACUCUGGCUGUCUUCGGUGAGGAGCCAGGUCAACAAAGCAGAAUGAGAAGUUCUUAGAAUUCCGGAUUUGCUGCAUUCACUCUGGCAGUGCUUUUGAAAAGUUGUUACCUUUAAUAUGACAUCAAAUAUGGAAUUCCAAACAACCCAAGAAUAAUUCAGGAAAUGACAAGACACAUACCUGGCAGCGUGAGGCAUGGUGGUUGCAGACCUGGCGAGGCUCCAUUCCUGCUCAGGCACAGCGGCGCUGACGCACAGGCUGUAUCAUUUUGUAAGCAGGAGACACCUAACUUCCCGGUGGAAAUAUGUUUGCUGGUGGGUGCUCGCAUGUCUUUGCCAAGGCAUUAUUCUUUGUUGAUGAUUCACAUGUUGUUUUAUCCUUUAGGUAAUAUUGUAGGGCUCAGUAUAAAUAAAUGCAAAUUGUCCUCUU